GCGGGAGUAGCUCAGCUGGUAGAGCGCCACCUUGCCAAGGUGAAAGUCGCGAGUUCGAGUCUCGUCUCCCGCUCCA
rnacentral:tRNA from 1 species